rnacentral:rRNA from 1 species
AGCGAACGCUGGCGGCAGGCCUAACACAUGCAAGUCGAACGAACCUUUCGGGGUUAGUGGCGGACGGGUGAGUAACACGUGGGAACGUGCCUUUAGGUUCGGAAUAACUCAGGGAAACUUGUGCUAAUACCGAAUGUGCCCUUCGGGGGAAAGAUUUAUCGCCUUUAGAGCGGCCCGCGUCUGAUUAGCUAGUUGGUUGAGGUAAUGGCUCACCAAGGCGACGAUCAGUAGCUGGUCUGAGAGGAUGAUCAGCCACAUUGGGACUGAGACACGGCCCAAACUCCUACGGGAGGCAGCAGUGGGGAAUCUUGCGCAAUGGGCGAAAGCCUGACGCAGCCAUGCCGCGUGAAUGAUGAAGGUCUUAGGAUUGUAAAAUUCUUUCACCGGGGACGAUAUUGACGGUACCCGGAGAAGAAGCCCCGGCUAACUUCGUG